rnacentral:lncRNA from 1 species
CCGAAUUGCGGUGCUGCGACGGAGGGGUUGUAAAACCCGUAAGUGGGGGCGUCUCUCCCCGAGAACAAGUUUGCUGGUAAGAUCCCCGGUUUGAUUAGUUCAUCUGUGAGGUCUUCAUCGAAUUUGCCAGCGGCUGAGUCAAAACAAGAAGGGAGUUCGAAGAUUGGAUCAUCCCUCUGAUAAGGGAACCAGCUGGUUGCAUCUUCGCUGAAGCCGUUAUAGAAGCAUCUGAAAUAUUCGGCCACCUUGGUAGCAGAAUAUGAACAACCAGAAAAG